rnacentral:rRNA from 1 species
AAUAAUUAACUAAGAUUCUCUGAGUAGCGGCGAGCGAAACGGGAAAAGCCUAUCGCUAAGUCAUUUUGUCUAUAGUGGGCAAUUUGAGAUGCAGCGUGUGGGAAGAUCUAUUAUCUUGUAUACAUUCGAUAAUACGUUCAAGUCCAUCUUGAAUGGGGCCAUUUACCCAUAGAGGGUGCCAGGCCCGUAGUGACUAUUAUCGUAUAUAAGAAGGUCUCUCUUUAGAGUCGUGUUGCUUGAUAGUGCAGCACUAAGUUGGUGAUAAACUCCAUCUAAGGCAAAAUAUAGCCACGAGACCGAUAGCAAACAAGUACCGUGAGGGAAAGUUGAAAAGAACUCUGAAUAGAGAGUUAAACAGUACGUGAAACCGCAUAGGUGUAAAGCCCAAUGAAUCUGAAUACUUGCAAUACGGAAUUCAAUGAUAUCAUAUUUUGGAUGAAUAAUCCUUUUGUUGAUAUUAUGCACUUUCCGUAUUAAAAUAUUGUGAUCUGUUAGUCAUAUAUCAUAUUCUUGAAAUAUGGUGAUUUGUCAAUGGUUCUUACUGAAGCUUUAUUCUUGUUCCUUUCGGGGAAUAAUUUUGUAAUAAAACAGUAGGGUCGACCAGACAAUAUACUGACAGAUUAUUAUGAUCAUGCCAAAUACCUUGUGUAUGGCACAUUGCGUGUAACGGUUUAGUUCUACUAAAUGCAGUAUACAUAACAUGAUUUGAUCGACAAUAAUAUAUAUUUGGAAUACUUUGGGACCCGUCUUGAAACACGGACCAAGAAGUCUAGUAUGUGUACGAGUCCUUGGUAUGAAAGCCUAAAGGCAAAAUUAACGUAACUGUUAUGGGAUUAUUCGAUAUUAUAUAUUAUAUUGCUUCCAUCCCUGGGCGUUUCCAUCAACUCUUUGCUCUUUACGGAACAAUGAGUGGAAGCGUACCGUGAGUAUACACACUGUGACCCGAAAGAUGGUGAACUAUACCUGAUCAGGUCGAAGUCAGGGGAAACCCUGAUGGAGGAUCGUAGCAGUUCUGACGUGCAAAUCGAUUGUCAGAAUUGGGUAUAGGGGCGAAAGACCAAUCGAACCAUCUAGUAGCUGGUUCCCUCCGAAGUUUCCCUCAGGAUAGCUGGUGCAUAAACAUAUUUGAAUAAAUAGUCUUAUCUGGUAAAGCGAAUGAUUAGAGGAAUUGGGGCCGAAACGACCUCAACCUAUUCUCAAACUUUAAAUGGGUAAGAUCCCCAACUUUCUUGAUUGAAGUUAUAAGGGGUUCUAUAAUAAAUGAUAUAUUGUGCCCAGUGGGCCACUUUUGGUAAGCAGAACUGGCGCUGUGGGAUGACCCAAACGUUAUGUUACGGCGCCUAAAUUUACGACUCAUACAGAUACCAUGAAAGGUGUUGCKUGCUUAAGACAGCAGGACGGUGGACAUGGAAGUUGUAAUCCGCUAAGGAGUGUGUAACAACUCACCUGCCGAAGCAACUAGCCCUUAAAAUGGAUGGCGCUCAAGUCGUAUGCCUAUACAUAACCGUUAAGAUAAAAUUUAAAGUAAUUUAAAUGAAUGAAAUCUUAAUGAGUAGGAGGGUAUAACGGUGUGCGUCGAAGUGUUUGGCGUGAGCCUGCGUGAAGCCGCCGUUAGCACAGAUCUUGGUGGUAGUAGCAAAUAAUCGAAUGAGAUCUUGGAGGACUGAAGUGGAGAAGGGUUUCGUGUGAACAGUGUUUGAUCACGAGUUAGUCGGUCCUAAGCUCUAGGCGAAAGCCGUCAUAAACAAGAGUUCUUAUUAUACAAACAAUAUGAAUUUCUAUAAUUUGAGAGCGAAAGGGAAUACGGUUCCAAUUCCGUAACCUGUUGAGUAUACGCUUUAAAGAUUGGAUAUUAACAUGUUAUGAUGAAUAUUCAUCCUGGUAACAGGAACUACCAUAGAGACGCAGUCGGGAUAUACCGGGAGAGUUUUCUUUUCUGUUUUAUAGACAUAUAACCAUGGAAGUCUGUCCAAGAGAGAUAUGGUUAAAAGUCUAGAAGAGCAUGACAUUUACUGUUGUGUCGGUAUUCUCCCUUCUGACCUUGAAAAUCUAUGGGAGGGAUACGCAAAUUCUUAACAGACCCGUACCGAUAUCCCGCAGCUUGUCUCCCAAGAUUGAGGUGUCU